AUGAAAAGUUGGAGGAUGUCCCAGGAUGAGAACAAAGAUAUGGUACACCUGCUUGUCAAGAUUCUAACGUUAAUGUCCCACUUCCAGGAACAUGAAGAUGGACUGGAUUCGCAUGCAGGUGUUGCAGCAUCUGCAUCUGAGGUUGAGAAGACACUCAGUCUACCUGCCAAUCCUCAUCUGAUUUUGCUGGUCAACAUUUUUGACUGCAGUUACAAGUGUUUGCUGUGCACUACAUCUUCAACCUGCAGUAUCAAGAGGAGGCUUGUUGCACGUUAG
rnacentral:lncRNA from 1 species